rnacentral:rRNA from 1 species
UCUUGGGUGANGAGUGGCGGACGGGUGAGUAAUGUCUGGGAAACUGCCUGAUGGAGGGGGAUAACUACUGGAAACGGUAGCUAAUACCGCAUAACGUCUUCGGACCAAAGUGGGGGACCUUCGGGCCUCACACCAUCGGAUGUGCCCAGAUGGGAUUAGCUAGUAGGUGGGGUAAUGGCUCACCUAGGCGACGAUCCCUAGCUGGUCUGAGAGGAUGACCAGCCACACUGGAACUGAGACACGGUCCAGACUCCUACGGGAGGCAGCAGUGGGGAAUAUUGCACAAUGGGCGCAAGCCUGAUGCAGCCAUGCCGCGUGUAUGAAGAAGGCCUUCGGGUUGUAAAGUAUUUUCAUCCAGGAGGAAGGCCUUCGNGUUAAAAGNACGGUUGNGCGNUGUUACNGGCA